rfam:Sphingopyxis granuli strain TFA, complete genome.
GAGAGCCGGAUGAUGGGAAACUAUCACGUCCGGUUCGGUGGGCGGGAGAGGCGUGUCCUCCUCGAGGCGCGACCCUCCCGACCCAAU